GACGGCGGGGUGAGAGGGCGCGGCUGCCAUGGCGACCGUCCUGGAAGCGUUCUGUCUUGUCCUGGUGUCACUGCUGUGGGGGGCAACUAACCCUUUCCUUAAAAAAGGCACAGAGGGCAUCGAGAAGGUCCAGUCUGGAAACUGGGUUACACAACUAUUGGCAGAGAUGAGAUUUUUAGUUCUUAAUUACAAGUAUUUGAUACCUUUCCUUCUCAACCAAAGCGGGUCACUUCUCUUCUACUUCACCUUGGCAUCGACAGAUUUGUCCUUGGCCAUCCUCUUGACAAAUUCUCUCACAUUUGUGUUCACUGCACUAACUGGAAAGUUACUUGGGGAAGAUAUUGGCGGUAAACAGGCGAUGGCAGGGAUGCUGCUGACCCUGAUCGGCAUUACUCUGUGUGUUGCAAGCAAUAUCAGCAUGGAAACUUGACCAAAAGGAGCCCAAUUUACCAAAACCAUCAACUGAAACUCUUCAUUCCUUUGCUGAAUUUGACCCUCAUAAAGUAAGGAAGAAACUGGAAUGGCAAGCCAACAAAGACCUUACAAACGGUUGGAUAUGUCCUGCAGUUGUACGAUGCUUGAAGAUUGCUGAGCAAUAGAUUGAGUUGGAUAUUGGAUAGUCAUUUCUCCUCUCAAGAACAAGCUGACUAAGUAGCAGAGUGUGAACAGACAGUGUGGGAGACAGGAACACAUGCCAAAAAUGUAAGCAUCCGUUUAUCGCAGGCUAGUACCAGCAUUAAACCAUGGUAGACACGCAUAAAUAAGUGGUUUAAUCCAUAAUUAACAGUUAUAGCCUUGCUCAUGUAGUAACUGCUGCUGUUGCAGUUGGUCUGGAAAUUCAGCCACAGCUCUCUUUAGCCGAUGUUGUUCUGGAACUGAGUGACGGAGGGGAAUGUAUCGAAGCCGCCGCACAGUCCAUGUGACUUUUGCACUGAUUAAAAUAUUAACAUCAGGGUGGUCUGUCCAUAACGUCGGAACAAUCAAGUGUGUUCGAAUGUAGAACGUCACGUGGAAUAUAUUCACCACACCUUUCUGCACAACACAUGUGGACAAGAUAUUUGAAACAUGCUGACAGCAAAUGUGUUUUAAAUAUUUGAUGUGCAAUUUUAUGCUGACAUUUGAAAUGCCCGAUUUACAAAUAUUCUACCAUUUUUCCUCCCAAAAUUGUUAAUUCCUUAUUAAAGGUGCCAUAGAUUCCCAAUUUGGAAAAUAA